GAUGAACGCUGGCGGCGUGCCUAACACAUGCAAGUCGAACGGACAGACGAGGAGCUUUUUCCUCUGAGGGUAGCGGCGGACGGGUGGGUAACAAGUGGAUAGCAAACUUCUAAUUCUUGGAGGACAACGGGAAGCCGGUGCUGCUAAUACAGAAUAUAUUGAACCGCUUGGUUCAAGGGUUAAGGACGGUUUUGGUGUCACUUAGAGAUGGAUCCGCGCCGCAUUAGCUAGUUGGUAAGGUAACGGCUUACCAAGGCGACGAUGCGUAGCCGACCUGAGAGGGUGAUCGGCCACACUGGAACUGAGACACGGUCCAGACUCCUACGGGAGGCAGCAGUAGGGAAUAUUCCGCAAUGGGCGAAAGCCUGAUGGAGCAACGCCGCGUGAGUGAUGAAGGUCUUCGGAUCGUAAAGCUCUGUUAUUAGGAAAGAACAACUGUGGAAUUAUCUAUGCGUGUCUUGACGGUACCUAAAGAGAAAGCCACGGCUAACUACGUG
rnacentral:rRNA from 1 species